rnacentral:misc_RNA from 1 species
ACUACUCAACACCAUCAACUUGUUUAUUCAUUUGACUGGUGCUUGGAUGUUGAAGGCUUGCUGGUAAUUUCUCAUUAUCAGCUCCUUUCAAACACAUGAGCARGACUACUACAUGCAACUGGCUCCAAUUUGAUAAGCUAGUUAUCUGUGUUGUUGCUAGGAAUAAUGUAAUUGUCUGCUACCAAUUGUCCCAAAUCUGGGACUUGCCUUUAGGCAACUAUUUGAACCCU